CCUACCCCUAGAAGCAUUGCAGGUAUGGCUGCAGUAUCACAUGUAUGUUAGUAGGUGGCAGAGAGAAGAAAGGCUAUGUCUACACUCUGUUCUCACCUAUGACUAUCUGAAUGAUUAGUAGCCUAACAUU